rnacentral:rRNA from 1 species
CCUACGGGAGGCAGCAGUGGGGAAUAUUGCACAAUGGGGGGAACCCUGAUGCAGCAAUGCCGCGUGGGUGAAGAAGCACUCCGGUGCGUAAAGCCCUGUCAGCAGGGAAGAAAAUGACAGUACCUGACCAAGAAGCCCCGGCUAACUACGUGCCAGCAGCCGCGGUAAUACGUAGGGGGCAAGCGUUAUCCGGAUUUACUGGGUGUAAAGGGAGCGCAGGCGGUAUGGCAAGUCAGAUGUGAAAACCCAGGGCCCAACCCUGGGACUGCAUUUGAAACUGCCAUACUGGAGUGCCGGAGAGGUAAGUGGAAUUCCUAGUGUAGCGGUGAAAUGCGUAGAUAUUAGGAGGAACACCAGUGGCGAAGGCGACUAUCUGGCACAUAACUGACGCUGAGGAGCGAAAGCGUGGGUAGCAAACAGGAUUAGAUACUCCAGUAGUC